GUCGAGAAUAAUUCACAAUGGACGAAAGUCUGAUGGUGCAACGCCGCGUGGAGGAUGACGGUCUUCGGAUUGUAAACUCCUGUCAUCCGGGAGUAAGACCUGGCUGUGAAUAGCAGACAGGGUUGAUAGUACCGGAAGAGGAAGGGACGGCUAACUUCGUGCCAGCAGCCGCGGUAAUACGAAGGUCCCGAGCGUUGUUCGGAAUCACUGGGCGUAAAGGGAGCGUAGGCGGCGUGGUAAGUCAGAUGUGAAAUCCCGGGGCUCAACCCCGGAACUGCAUCCGAUACUGCCGUGCUAGAGGAUUGGAGAGGUAGCUGGAAUUCUUGGUGUAGCAGUGAAAUGCGUGGAGAUCAAGAGGAACACUCGUGGCGAAAGCGAGCUACUGGACAAUAUCUGACGCUGAGGCUCGAAGGCCAGGGUAGCGAAAGGGAUUAGAUACCCUAGUAGUCC
rnacentral:rRNA from 1 species